AAAUUGAAGAGUUUGAUCAUGGCUCAGAUUGAACGCUGGCGGCAGGCCUAACACAUGCAAGUCGAACGGUAGCACAGAGAGCUUGCUCUCGGGUGACGAGUGGCGGACGGGUGAGUAAUGUCUGGGAAACUGCCUGAUGGAGGGGGAUAACUACUGGAAACGGUGGCUAAUACCGCAUAACGUCGCAAGACCAAAGAGGGGGACCUUCGGGCCUCUUGCCAUCAGAUGUGCCCAGAUGGGAUUAGCUUGUUGGUGAGGUAACGGCUCACCAAGGCGACGAUCCCUAGCUGGUCUGAGAGGAUGACCAGCCACACUGGAACUGAGACACGGUCCAGACUCCUACGGGAGGCAGCAGUGGGGAAUAUUGCACAAUGGGCGCAAGCCUGAUGCAGCCAUGCCGCGUGUAUGAAGAAGGCCUUCGGGUUGUAAAGUACUUUCAGCGGGGAGGAAGGUGUUGUGGUUAAUAACCACAGCAAUUGACGUUACCCGCAGAAGAAGCACCGGCUAACUCCGUGCCAGCAGCCGCGG
rnacentral:rRNA from 1 species